rnacentral:rRNA from 1 species
UACGAAGGGGGCUAGCGUUGCUCGGAAUCACUGGGCGUAAAGGGCGCGUAGGCGGAUCUUUAAGUCGGGGGUGAAAGCCCAGGGCUCAACCCUGGAAUUGCCUUCGAUACUGUUUGGCUUGAGUAUGGUAGAGGUCAGUGGAACUGCGAGUGUAGAGGUGAAAUUCGUAGAUAUUCGCAAGAACACCAGUGGCGAAGGCGGCUGACUGGACCAUUACUGACGCUGAGGCGCGAAAGCGUGGGGAGCAAACAGG